UGGGGAAUAUUGCACAAUGGGCGCAAGCCUGAUGCAGCCAUGCCGCGUGUGUGAAGAAGGCCUUCGGGUUGUAAAGCACUUUCAGCGGGGAGGAAGGCGUUAAGGUUAAUAACCUUGGCAAUUGACGUUACCCGCAGAAGAAGCACCGGCUAACUCCGUGCCAGCAGCCGCGGUAAUACGGAGGGUGCAAGCGUUAAUCGGAAUUACUGGGCGUAAAGCGCACGCAGGCGGUCUGUCAAGUCGGAUGUGAAAUCCCCGGGCUCAACCUGGGAACUGCAUUCGAAACUGGCAGGCUAGAGUCUUGUAGAGGGGGGUAGAAUUCCAGGUGUAGCGGUGAAAUGCGUAGAGAUCUGGAGGAAUACCGGUGGCGAAGGCGGCCCCCUGGACAAAGACUGACGCUCAGGUGCGAAAGCGUGGGGAGCAAACAGG
rnacentral:rRNA from 1 species